rnacentral:rRNA from 1 species
GAUGAACGCUGGCGGCGUGCCUAAUACAUGCAAGUCGAGCGAACAGACGAGGAGCUUGCUCCUCUGACGUUAGCGGCGGACGGGUGAGUAACACGUGGAUAACCUACCUAUAAGACUGGGAUAACUUCGGGAAACCGGAGCUAAUACCGGAUAAUAUAUUGAACCGCAUGGUUCAAUAGUGAAAGACGGUUUUGCUGUCACUUAUAGAUGGAUCCGCGCCGCAUUAGCUAGUUGGUAAGGUAACGGCUUACCAAGGCAACGAUGCGUAGCCGACCUGAGAGGGUGAUCGGCCACACUGGAACUGAGAAACGGUCCAGACUCCUACGGGGGGCAGCAGUAGGGAAUCUUCCGCGAUGGGCGAAAGCCUGACGGAGCAACGCCGCGUGAGUGAUGAAGGUCUUCGGAUCGUAGAACUCUGUUAUUAGGGAAGAACAAAUGUGUAAGUAACUAUGCACGUCUUGACGGUACCUAGUCAGAAAGCCACGGCUAACUACGUG